AUAGGGGAGCCGGAGGGAAACCGAGUCUUAAUUGGGCGUUAAGUUGCAGGGUAUAGACCCGAAACCCGGUGAUCUAGCCAUGGGCAGGUUGAAGGUUGGGUAACACUAACUGGAGGACCGAACCGACUAAUGUUGAAAAAUUAGCGGAUGACCUGUGGCUGGGGGUGAAAGGCCAAUCAAACCGGGAGAUAGCUGGUUCUCCCCGAAAGCUAUUUAGGUAGCGCCUCGUGAAUUCAUCUCCGGGGGUAGAGCACUGUUUCGGCUAGGGGGCCAUCCCGGCUUACCAACCCGAUGCAAACUGCGAAUACCGGAGAAUGUUAUCACGGGAGACACACGGCGGGUGCUAACGUCCGUCGUGAAGAGGGAAACAACCCAGACCGCCAGCUAAGGUCCCAAAGUCAUGGUUAAGUGGGAAACGAUGUGGGAAGGCCCAGACAGCCAGGAUGUUGGCUUAGAAGCAGCCAUCAUUUAAAGAAAGCGUAAUAGCUCACUGGUCGAGUCGGCCUGCGCGGAAGAUGUAACGGGGCUAAACCAUGCACCGAAGCUGCGGCAGCGAACGUAUCACCCAAGACAACUUUACGGAGUUGACGAUUGACGGAGCGAAGCGACGUCAAAGCGUUCAUUAAAGUCGAGUUGGCUUAGGGAUACGUUCGUUGGGUAGGGGAGCGUUCUGUAAGCCUGUGAAGGUGUGUCGUGAGGCAUGCUGGAGGUAUCAGAAGUGCGAAUGCUGACAUAAGUAACGAUAAAGCGGGUGAAAAGCCCGCUCGCCGGAAGACCAAGGGUUCCUGUCCAACGUUAAUCGGGGCAGGGUGAGUCGACCCCUAAGGCGAGGCCGAAAGGCGUAGUCGAUGGGAAACGGGUUAAUAUUCCCGUACUUGGUGUUACUGCGAAGGGGGGACGGAGAAGGCUAUGUUGGCCGGGCGACGGUUGUCCCGGUUUAAGCGUGUAGGUGUGUGUUCCAGGUAAAUCCGGUUCACUUUAACACUGAGGCGUGACGACGAGGCACUACGGUGCUGAAGCAACAAAUGCCCUGCUUCCAGGAAAAGCCUCUAAGCAUCAGGUAACACGAAAUCGUACCCCAAACCGACACAGGUGGUCAGGUAGAGAAUACCAAGGCGCUUGAGAGAACUCGGGUGAAGGAACUAGGCAAAAUGGUGCCGUAACUUCGGGAGAAGGCACGCUGACACGUAGGUGAAGUGAUUUACUCAUGGAGCUGAAGUCAGUCGAAGAUACCAGCUGGCUGCAACUGUUUAUUAAAAACACAGCACUGUGCAAACACGAAAGUGGACGUAUACGGUGUGACGCCUGCCCGGUGCCGGAAGGUUAAUUGAUGGGGUCAGCGCAAGCGAAGCUCCUGAUCGAAGCCCCGGUAAACGGCGGCCGUAACUAUAACGGUCCUAAGGUAGCGAAAUUCCUUGUCGGGUAAGUUCCGACCUGCACGAAUGGCGUAAUGAUGGCCAGGCUGUCUCCACCCGAGACUCAGUGAAAUUGAACUCGCUGUGAAGAUGCAGUGUACCCGCGGCAAGACGGAAAGACCCCGUGAACCUUUACUAUAGCUUGACACUGAACAUUGAGCCUUGAUGUGUAGGAUAGGUGGGAGGCUUUGAAGUGUGGACGCCAGUCUGCAUGGAGCCGACCUUGAAAUACCACCCUUUAAUGUUUGAUGUUCUAACGUGGACCCGUAAUCCGGGUUGCGGACAGUGUCUGGUGGGUAGUUUGACUGGGGCGGUCUCCUCCUAAAGAGUAACGGAGGAGCACGAAGGUUGGCUAAUCCUGGUCGGACAUCAGGAGGUUAGUGCAAUGGCAUAAGCCAGCUUGACUGCGAGCGUGACGGCGCGAGCAGGUGCGAAAGCAGGUCAUAGUGAUCCGGUGGUUCUGAAUGGAAGGGCCAUCGCUCAACGGAUAAAAGGUACUCCGGGGAUAACAGGCUGAUACCGCCCAAGAGUUCAUAUCGACGGCGGUGUUUGGCACCUCGAUGUCGGCUCAUCACAUCCUGGGGCUGAAGUAGGUCCCAAGGGUAUGGCUGUUCGCCAUUUAAAGUGGUACGCGAGCUGGGUUUAGAACGUCGUGAGACAGUUCGGUCCCUAUCUGCCGUGGGCGCUGGAGAACUGAGGGGGGCUGCUCCUAGUACGAGAGGACCGGAGUGGACGCAUCACUGGUGUUCGGGUUGUCAUGCCAAUGGCACUGCCCGGUAGCUAAAUGCGGAAGAGAUAAGUGCUGAAAGCAUCUAAGCACGAAACUUGCCCCGAGAUGAGUUCU
rnacentral:rRNA from 2 species